rnacentral:rRNA from 1 species
GAUGAAUGCUGGCGGCGUGCCUAACACAUGCAAGUCGAGCGGCAGCGCGAGUAGUUUACUACUUGGCGGCGAGCGGCGGACGGCUGAGUAACGCGUGGGAACAUGCCCCAAAGUGAGGAAUAACUGCCCGAAAGGGUAGCUAAUGCCGCAUAUGAUCUUCGGAUUAAAGGAUUUAUCCGCUUUAAGAUGGGCCCGCGGCUGAUUAGCUAGUUGGCGGGGUAAAGGCCCACCAAGGCGACGAUCCGUAGCUGGUCUGAGAGGAUGAUCAGCCACACUGGGACUGAGACACGGCCCAGACUCCUACGGGAGGCAGCAGUGGGGAAUAUUGGACAAUGGGGGCAACCCUGAUCCAGCAAUGCCGCGUGUGUGAAGAAGGCCUUCGGGUUGUAAAGCACUUUUAUCGGGUACGAAACGAUUGUCGGUGAAUAUCCGGCAAGACUGACGGUACCCGAGGAACUAAGCACCGGCGUAACUUCGUGCCAGCAGCCGCGGUAAAUACG